UACGUAGGCAGCGAGCGUUGUUCGGAGUUACUGGGCGUAAAGAGUGCGUAGGCGGUUUUCUAAGUUUGGUGUGAAAUCUCCCGGCUCAACUGGGAGGGUGCGCCGAAGACUGGAAGGCUUGAGUAUGGGAGAGGUAAGCGGAAUUCCUGGUGUAGCGGUGAAAUGCGUAGAUAUCAGGAGGAACACCAAUAGCGAAGGCAGCUCGCUGGGACGUUACUGACACUGAGGCGCGAAAGCGUGGGGAGCGAACAGG
rnacentral:rRNA from 1 species